GUAAAUCACUAGAAGCUCUUAAAAACCAAAGGCAGGUUCCUUCUCAAGGUGACUUUGUUAAUGAUUAACAAAGUCACCUUGAGAAGGAACCUGCCUUUGGUUUUUAAGAGCUUCUAGUGAUUUAC